UGGCAGCGUUGUGUAGUGGGCCGGAGGUAACGCUCGGACGGACGGCAGUUUCCUGCCAGGACGGUGUUCCAUGGAUCAGAAUCGAAGCCGCCGUCUGAUCCGUGGAUCGGGAAGUUUGCUUUUCCGUCUGGCCGCCCCAGAGUCGAAUUGAAUGGAGGGUCCAGCGUCGUGUCUUGCAAAGCGAGUGGCGUUUUGAAGGCGACGACGGGGAGAUAGAGGUCUGGAGCGGCGGCGGCGAUCCACCAUGGAGUUUUUGAUGCAACCAAUAGGCAGAUCUGCUCUGCUUGAGGAGGUAGGAGAGGGGUUGGUGCCUGCGCCUCUAGUUGCGGAUGACGGUGUGCCGGAGCAGCAGAGGCUGCCGGAACGGAGGCCACAGCGGGCAGAAGGGAUCUGACGUCCGAGGCUCUGAGCUCUCGACGGGGAAGAUGAAUCCCCAGGUACCCCGAUGGAAUAAGAGACUGAGGAUUGGUGCUGCUGCACCAAGCAGGACACCUUGCUCAACUCGAAUCAGUGUGUUUCAGAAGGCUGUUAGGAAUUUGAGAGAGGAUGGGAAAUGCUGCUGGACAAAUACAAGAUGAGAACACAUCCUUACAUGACAGCCUUUUGAGAUUAGGCAGAAAUGCUGCUGGGCAUCUAAAUAAUCAGCUUGCUGCAACUUCAAGCAGAACUGGAUGUGAAAUAUCAGAUGGAGAGAGAAUCCCGUGCAUCGGCAUUGAAUGUGCAGAUGGGUUUGGUUGAAGGGAUUAUUGACAUCUCUGACAGUGAACGCAACGAUGAAGUUAAUUUUGAAGAGUGGUCUGAUCCUGAGCAUGCUAAACUGGUUGAGACAGAUAGAAGGUUGAGAGAGCAAGAGGAGAAAGAUGCAGAGGUCGUGAAGAUGUAUCAGGAAAUGUAUGGCAAAAAAGAUGGGCACCAAGAAGUCUCAGGCACGGAUAAUGAUUCACUUGUUGAGAAGCACCGUAAGUUAAGGGAGCAAGAGGAAAAAGACACCAAGGUUGCAAUGAUGUAUCAAACACUGUAUGAUCAAAAUGCUACUGAAGCUCAGAUCACCAAUGUGCCAGCAAACAGAAUUCUUGCUCAGGCGGCAAAACCUGCAGGUCGGGAAAGAAGCCCCAUGGAGGGUGGGCGUAGAGGACGGGGGUGCGUUGGUGGUGCCUCCAGGGCAGGGAACAUGAAUUCCAUGAAGUGGUCUUGGAGGCGGAAAGGGAAGAAGUCGGAAACGGGAUCCAAGGGGCAGAGGAGAGUGAGGUUCUCGAACACUGUGGAGACGAUAUGCCCAUCGAAAUCCUGAGUGAAGACAGUUCUAGUGAUGAUGGAAUGCAGCAAGCGAAGAUGAUCACGAGCCUGCACAUCUACCUGGUAGCAACGUAGAUGGUUUGGAUACAUUGGUUGCAAAUGACAUCGUGGCGGCGAGGUCAAAGGAGGGUGGAAGAACCACCGUCAGCCAUGUCAGGAGUGCAGCACGCGGUGGAGUUGACGCUGCUCCGCACGGACAUGGGACUCACAAAGGCCCUGGGACCAGCCGAUAUCGGGAGUAGCCCAUGUGGGAGAAUUGAGCGUCGCGAGAGCGAACCUGGAUACACAUUUCAGUGGUUCAUCAGUUAUGCAGUAAUGCUGGAUAUAAUCACAUCUGCUGGCUUACAUGCAAAAAGGUUUGUAGUUAAAAAUCCUUAAUUUACAACAGUCCUUGGUUGACGUUUGAGCAGAUGUUGGCAGAGCAAUUUGGUCAUCUAAUACAUGAGCACAUAAUAAUUCUUGUUAAUAAAUCAAUCAGAUCUAGCGGUACUAAUAGAUGGUAGAGCAUGAUAUCUUACUUCUGAUGAGAAUAUAAUUAGAUAUGAUAAUAUAUGUGCGUGGAAUGGUCUCUGAAAGUACUGCAUAAUGGAGAGAUCGACAAACUAAGAUGCAUCACUGACAAUAAAAUUCAGUUUGGCAUGAACAUCUGAUUUGGGUAGGAAAAACCUUGGUCUACCAACUGCGCGGCAUGUGCGACAAACAUCAGGAGAACCAAAUCAAACCUUAGAUGGCACACUGCGCAGCAUGCAUGUAGAUCGAGUGGGUGUGAUGUACUUGAUCAGCCGGUGUAGCUAGUGAAUGUAUACGGUGGUCGGUCAGCACGUAGACCAAGGUAGUGAUGUGACUAGUGUCAAAGUGUUGUUAGAAAAAGGUCUCAAAGUUAAAAAAAAACUGUAGCUGGUGGAACUUGAAAAAAAAACGCAGGCGCAAUGAUUUGCAGAGCUUAGUACCAC